rnacentral:rRNA from 1 species
UACGUAGGUCGCAAGCGUUGUCCGGAUUUAUUGGGCGUAAAGAGCUCGUAGGCGGUUUGUCGCGUCUGCUGUGAAAACUCGAGGCUCAACCUCGGGCUUGCAGUGGGUACGGGCUGACUAGAGUGCGGUAGGGGUGACUGGAAUUCCUGGUGUAGCGGUGGAAUGCGCAGAUAUCAGGAGGAACACCGAUGGCGAAGGCAGGUCACUGGGCCGCAACUGACGCUGAGGAGCGAAAGCAUGGGGAGCGAACAGG